rnacentral:rRNA from 1 species
UACAGUGGUCCCGAGCGUUAUCCGGAUUCACUGGGUUUAAAGGGUGCGUAGGAGGGCAGGUAAGUCAGUGGUGAAAUCUCCAAGCUUAACUUGGAAACUGCCGUUGAUACUAUCUGUCUUGAAUAUUGUGGAGGUGAGCGGAAUAUGUCAUGUAGCGGUGAAAUGCUUAGAUAUGACAUAGAACACCAAUUGCGAAGGCAGCUCGCUACACAUAUAUUGACUCUGAGGCACGAAAGCGUGGGGAUCAAACAGG